rnacentral:lncRNA from 1 species
AAUAGUAAAGACACAUAUUUUACAUUUUCUGGCAUCAUGUGAUCAAUCAUAUAAUGGUACCCAACAAGAUGAUUGCGAUGGUUAUUAGUGUGAUUCUUCAUGGUGACGACCCAUCUGGAAAAAAGAAAGAAAAGAAAAAGAAAAACUAAGCACCUUGAAAUAUCUAAUUUUUUUAUAUAAUACAAUAAUAAAAAAUUAAAAUUAACCUUGAAGCCUAAGGAUGAGUUAAUACAUUGGAUUGAUUAGUGGUAGAAAUGACAUUCGAGUAAAU